rnacentral:rRNA from 1 species
GAUGAACGCUGGCGGCGUGCCUAAUACAUGCAAGUCGAGCGAACAGAUGAGGAACUUGCUCCUCUGACGUUAGCGGCGGACGGGUGAGUAACACGUGGAUAACCUACCUAUAAGACUGGGAUAACUUCGGGAAACCGGAGCUAAUACCGGAUAAUAUAUUGAACCGCAUGGUUCAAUAGUGAAAGACGGUUUUGCUGUCACUUAUAGAUGGAUCCGCGCCGCAUUAGCUAGUUGGUAAGGUAACGGCUUACCAAGGCAACGAUGCGUAGCCGACCUGAGAGGGUGAUCGGCCACACUGGAACUGAGACACGGUCCAGACUCCUACGGGAGGCAGCAGUAGGGAAUCUUCCGCAAUGGGCGAAAGCUUGACGGAGCAACGCCGCGUGAGUGAUGAAGGUCUUCGGAUCGUAAAACUCUGUUAUUAGGGAAGAACAAAUGUGUAAGUAACUAUGCACGUCUUGACGGUACCUAAUCAGAAAGCCACGGCUAACUACGUG